rnacentral:rRNA from 1 species
UACGAAGGGGGGCUAGCGUUGCUCGGAAUCACUGGGCGUAAAGGGUGCGUAGGCGGGUCUUUUAAGUCAGGGGUGAAAUCCUGGAGCUCAACUCCAGAACUGCCUUUGAUACUGAGGAUCUUGAGUUCGGGAGAGGUGAGUGGAACUGCGAGUGUAGAGGUGAAAUUCGUAGAUAUUCGCAAGAACACCAGUGGCGAAGGCGGCUCACUGGCCCGAUACUGACGCUGAGGCACGAAAGCGUGGGGAGCAAGCAGGG